AGUGUGUCUGGCUGCAGGACCUGUUGAAAGCCAGUUCGCGCCCCUGCAGCUAGGCAGCCUGGAGCGCCGAGGCUGCGAGAACCGGUGUGGAAACUUGCAGUGGGUGGAGAGGCGGGAGAGCGGGCGGGAGAGGGACCACCCCGCGCUGCGGCUGAAGGCUGGCCCCCGAGCUGUGGGCUGCGCGAGGUGGGCUCACUCUCCGCAGCUGGGGGCCGCGAGCCAGGGGCCCGGAGCAACUGCUCCGGGAAAAGCACGUGUCCGCCUUUUAGAGACCGCCAGGCCGGGGUUCACCUGUACGCCAUCAUACCUGCCCAUGAGUCUUUGAGAACAUUAUAAUGUCCCUUUGUGCCUCUUCUCACAAAGAGUUUCCUCAGCUGUUACCUGUUCAAGACAUGGAUAUCAAAAACUCACCAUCUAGCCUUAACUCUCCGGCUUCCUACAACUGCAGUCAAUCUAUCCUACCUGUGGAGCACGGCCCCAUAUAUAUACCUUCCUCCUAUGUAGAGAGCCACCAUGAAUAUUCCGCCAUGACCUUCUAUAGCCCCGCUGUGAUGAAUUACGGUAUUCCCAGCAGUGCCAGUAACUCAGAAGGUGGGCCUGGUCGACAGACCACAAGCCCAAAUGUGUUGUGGCCAACUCCUGGACACCUCUCUCCCUUAGCCAUCCAUUGCCAGUCGUCACUUCUGUAUGCAGAACCUCAAAAGAGUCCUUGGUGUGAAGCAAGAUCACUAGAACCCACCUUACCUGUAAACAGAGAGACACUGAAAAGGAAAGUUAGUGGGAGCAGUUGUGCCAGCCCUGUUACUAGUCCAAGUUCAAAGAGGGAUGCUCACUUCUGUGCGGUCUGCAGCGAUUACGCAUCUGGAUAUCACUAUGGAGUCUGGUCGUGUGAAGGAUGUAAGGCCUUUUUUAAAAGAAGCAUUCAAGGACAUAAUGAUUACAUUUGCCCAGCUACAAAUCAGUGUACGAUAGAUAAGAAUCGACGCAAAAGCUGCCAGGCCUGCCGACUUCGGAAGUGCUAUGAAGUGGGGAUGGUCAAGUGUGGCUCCCGGAGAGAAAGGUGUGGGUACCGUGUUAUGCGAAGGCAGAAAAGUUCAGAUGAGCAGCUGCACUGCCUGAGCAAAGCCACGAAAAAUGGUGGACCCGUGACCCGAGUGAAGGAGCUGCUGCUGAGCGCCCUGAGCCCGGAGCAGCUGGUGCUCACGCUACUGGAGGCGGAGCCGCCCCACGUGCUCGUGAGCCGCCCCAGCACGCCCUUCACCGAGGCCUCCAUGAUGAUGUCCUUGACCAAGCUGGCCGACAAGGAGCUGGUGCACAUGAUUGGCUGGGCCAAGAAAAUUCCAGGCUUUGUGGAGCUCAGUCUCUACGACCAAGUGCGCCUCUUGGAGAGCUGCUGGAUGGAGGUGCUGAUGGUGGGGCUGAUGUGGCGCUCCAUUGACCACCCGGGCAAGCUCAUCUUUGCUCCAGACCUCGUUCUGGACAGGGAUGAGGGGAAAUGCGUAGAAGGAAUUCUGGAAAUCUUCGACAUGCUCUUGGCAACAACUUCAAGGUUCCGUGAGUUAAAACUCCAACACAAAGAGUAUCUCUGUGUCAAGGCCAUGGUCCUCCUCAACUCCAGUAUGUACCCGUUAGCUGCGGCAACCCCGGAGGCUGAGAGCAGCCGGAAGCUGACCCACUUGCUGAACGCAGUGACCGACGCUCUGGUCUGGGUGAUCGCCGAGAGCGGGAUUCCCUCCCAGCAGCAGCCCGUGCGCCUGGCUAACCUCCUGAUGCUCCUUUCUCACGUCAGACACGCCAGUAACAAGGGCAUGGAACACCUGCUUAACAUGAAAUGCAAGAACGUGGUCCCAGUCUACGACCUGCUGCUGGAGAUGCUGAAUGCACACACGCUUCGCGGGUACAAGUCCUCGCUCACCGGGGCCGAGUGCAGCCCAGCAGAGGAGAGUAAGCACAGGGAGGGCUCCCAGAAGCCCCUGUCUCAGUGAUGCCCAGUCCAAGGCGAAGAGGCCACAGAGGAGGUCAGAGGCUGAAGUGUGAACUCCAGUGCAAACCGUGAGCUCCAUCCGGGAGUGGGCAGGCUUCACUGUCUUGCUCGUGUGUGGUCCCUCAUUUGGUUAUGGCAGGCCCAGUCGAGUACCGUCCUUCGCCCGACCUCCCCACUUGCCAGGAGUCAGGGUAUGCAGCACCCUUUUAAGAAUUUGAUGAAAACCAUGAACACUCUUCCUGGAAAAAGGUACAUAAACACAAAUGCUUGCCUAUAAUUCAAGAGGGUUAGGAGGGUUAGGAAUCUCGGUCUUAAGCUGUCAAACCUUUUUUUUUUAUUUAAGAUUUUAUUUGAGAGCGUGUGUGAGCAGGGGGAGGGGCAGAGGGAGGGAGAAUCACAAGCAGGCUCUGCACUCAGUGUGGAGCCUGACAUGGGCUUGAUCCCAUGACCCUGGGAUCAUGACCUGAGCCAAAAUCAAGAGUUGGACGCUUAACUGACUGAGCCACGCAGGUGCCCCAGAGUUUUUGAGCAGUAGCAAUUUAAUCUUUGGUCAGCUAAUCUCAUGCUUGUGGACUGAUGACCACAGGCACUGUGUGUUCAAGUAAAACGCAGCCCACACAUGUCAAAGUCCUGGUAUGCAGUACGUCAAUUAUAUGAGUAGAUUUUCUGUAAUUACCUCAUCUAAGUCAGUAUGAAACCCCACUAGGGAUGGGGAGAAAAGUCAUUCAUUCAUAAUGAAGUGAUCUGAAUGUCAGGAGUUGUUUGAAAAUUUCCCUCGCGUGUGAGAAAUAGAAGAUGCAAAACCUCUUAAAGGUGUAAAACAUUAUCUCAUAACAAGUGUCUGGGAAUACACUGAGCUUUGAGUGAAGAAAGGCUUGCUGGGGAUAAGUAUAUACUCCAGGCUUCUGGAUCCUACCCUUAAGACUCAAAGACCUUUAUCCUGAGAAUAGAUGUGCGCAGUUAGGCUUUGAAAUGCAGACAUUUUCCUUGUCACUGCAACUUUGACUUGCCCCAGAGUUGAAGGUUUCCAGAACCGUCAGUCCGAAGAGGAGGAGGUAGGGAUUCUGCCUUUUGCCUCUGGCAGAACUGGGGCAAGAACCCUCUAACCAACUCAGUGGCUUAGAGAAACAGUUGGGGUGACAUUUUUCACUUAAAUGUGGCUCUGGGAUUUUUGUUAAUCCAUGAGAAGAAAUGAAUUAUUUUAAAGCAUCAGAAGACUUUUUUUAAACUGCAAAGUACCAUUUUUCUCCCUAUCAAUCACUUUCAUCAAUUUGGUAAAAUGAAGACGGAUUCCCUUCCACUGGUACCAUUACAUCAAGCUGCUUAUGAACUGCACACGUCCUGGGGCUGUCUGACCUACAGAAGGGGCCGCUGGCACUGGGAGUCUGGUCUUCAUCUACUGCCAAGCCUCCCUGGCUUCCCCUAAGGUUUGUGCUUGGCAGAGCAAGAGAGGGAGCACUGAGGUGGUGGUUAGGACAGUGGUGUCUCCCAAGUGUCAAGAGAUGCAGGUUAGGGGCGCCUGGGUGGCUCAGUCAUUAAGCGUCUGCCUUCGGCUCAGGUCAUGAUCCCAGGGUCCUGGGAUCGAGUCCCGCAUCGGGCUCCCUGCUCCGCGGGGAGUCUGCUUCUAUCUGCCUCUCUGCCUUCUUGUGCUCUCUUCUCUGUCAAAUAAAUAAGUAAAAUCAACAACAAAAAGAUGCAGGUUAGGAGCAGUUAACUCAGGAACUGGUUCAGUGACUUCUAAUCACACUCUUUGUUUUAGUGGGAAAUAGUGGUACUGUUCUGUGGUAGAUUAUGUAUGACAUUUAAUUUGUAAUAUAAUCCAGUACAACACGAGUAUGGGUAUUUUUGUUUUAAUGAGAAAUAUUUGAGUUGUACAUACCACAAAUAGCUUCAAGUUUCUGUAACAAACCCCCAUGGCCAAACAGCUAAACAAUACCUGAAGCAGGACUUUAAAGGUGAAAAGUCUUAUAAAAUUAACUUACAAAAACCUCCCUAUCAAGUAGUUUGGCAUUUACUGUACAUUAGUCAAAAGCUCAAGCUAAAAUCGGAUGUUUUUUUAAAAAAAUCGAAGUUUACAUUCA